GAACUGAAGAGUUUGAUCAUGGCUCAGAUUGAACGCUGGCGGCAGGCCUAACAUAUGCAAGUCGAGCGGAUGAGUGGAGCUUGCUCCAUGAUUCAGCGGCGACGGGUGAGUAAUGCCUAGGAAUCUGCCUGGUA
rnacentral:ncRNA from 1 species